ensembl:lncRNA
GUUCUUGAGGAACGUCCAUACUGUUUUCCAUAGUGGUUGCACCAAUUUACUUUCCCAGCAACAGUGUGGGAGGGUUCCCUUUUCUCCACACCCUCUCCAGCCUUUACUUGCAGUCUUUUUAAUGAUGGCCAUUCUGACUGGUGUGUGGUCAUACCUCAUUUUUUCUUUGCAUUUGUUUCUCACCUACAAGGGGAGCAGACAGAGGGCACUGACCUCUGUUUUCUAACCCACCCAGAGGAGAGGGGACCCUCCCACGCAGCCAGACUCUGUUCAUCUCUUGGAGUGCACCCCCACUCCUGUCCCCAGCUUCUGUGUACUUUUUAUUCUCAACCCCAAACCUGAAAUUUUUCACAAGAGGACUCUCCUCGGGGCUCUGAAGCACUUUGCCCCAUGCUCAAGGGCAGCUGGCAGUACCUGGGAAUGCCUAGAAAAACGGAAGGAGAGAGAAGGUCCCGUCUCUCCCCACGCGGUUGCCGGCCCUGCCAGCAGCCAGCAGGCAGCACGGAGCUGAGCCUGCAGCAGAAGCGGCCGUCUCCCCUUCCGGGCUGACCUGCCUGCGACCCUCCCCAGAGACGUGACAUCCCUCCUGCCAUCAGCCCCUGCAAUGUGACUCACUGCCUCCGGCGCUGACACAGCCUGGUGACAAUUACAGGGUAAGAGCGAUUCCAAACCGUGGAGCUUUCAGACCGGGGCUGUUAUCCUUAUGUAACAUUUCUAUUUCCUUUUGUCCUCGGAGCCUCAGGACUUCCGGCUCCUGAUCAGUCAUAGAGUGACUUCUGCUGAAGAGACUGGGGCAGGACAAAGGUUCUGGAUGUCUUUAUUCUCCUCCCUCUCAGCUCUCUUCAUUAAGCUAUCCCCUGUUCUCCACCCAACACCCCUGAGAUGGCUGAUUCCCUAUGACAAAUUGGGAACAAGGAGAGAGAGAGACAGCCACCUUGAUGGAGCCACUGCACAUGCUGCCUUUUUACAGAGACCUGCUCAGGGUCAUUACCCUGUAGGGAGAAGUGACACCUGCAGACCCUCUGCCCGGAACAAGCCUCCACUCCCCCUGCUCCUGAGAGCUGCUUGCAUUCCUGGCCACCGUUCUCAGCUUCGGUCACUCCAACCUCGGGUCCCUCCCCACAUCUUCUCUGACUCUGUUUCUCCUGCCUCCCUCUUUCCUUGUAAGGAUCCUUGUGAUGACGCUGGGCCACCCGGAAAAUCCCAGAUAAUCUCGCCAUCUCUAGAUCCUUCGCGUAAUCAUGUCUGCAGAGUCCCUCCUGCCGGGAACGACAGAGUCAGUUUCUGGGGAGAGGACCAUGGACAUCUCUGGCCCGUAUUCUGCCCGCCACCGUGGAUUGCUGACCGCCCUCUUUGAAAAGUGGAGCUCAGACACUAGAAAAUCCUCCGAAAUCAGGAAAGGACAGGGUGACAGUCACCAGCGCAAACCUGUUCGUGUAUAUUGCAGUUCUCGCUCCUUCCGGUCGCAUGGUAACAUCGCACUUCCCGGCCCCCCUUGAAAACUUUCAUGCGAUUUGUUCUGGCCAUGCAAACAGGAGAAGAGAUUGUGGCACUUCAGGGUAACAGUCUUCCUGGCAGUGUGAGAUGCACCUGCUCUUUCCUUUCCCUCCACCAGGGCCGCUGGCGAAUGGUGGCCUUUCUAUCAGCCUGAGUCCCAGAGUAAGGCAGACGCCGAGAUGUCCCAUGAUGGACACACAACAUUAAUAAGAAAUAAAGUUUGUCGUUUUAAGUUACUAAGAUGUGGG